AGAUGUGUUAUGAGCGUAUAGCGAACUACUUGCCUUUUACUAAAGAAUAUCGUGUGCACGUUACUAAAAGCAACAUACACUAAUUUUUAGAAGUCCUCUCUUUAUUGAGGGGU